GGACAAUGUGAUAAGUCAGAUACAAAGACCAGUGAAGGAAGUUGCAUUCCCCGGAUCUGCUGAAGAGGUUGAUAGACUUCUUAAGAAUCAGAGACAAUCUCAUUUCGCAAAUGCUCAACCUCAACAAAAAAGGAAAGGAAGUCAGAGAAUAAGAAGUCCAUUUUAAGAAGGGAUCGAGUAUGAUAUAUAUUAUGUGUAUAUGCUAUAAAGAGCUUUAGCUCACAGUGAGCAAAAAAUAAAAAGGCAUUCUCUUGUAACUACGUACCUUUCUACUAUGAAUAAUGUAAAACAAGAAUAAAUUUUUGUUUCUACUCUUUAGCUACUAUGAAUAAAGUAAAGGAAGAAUAAAUUUUUUGUCUACUCUCUAUCUAACUUUUUGGUAACACUCGUCUAUGCUAUGAGUAUGAAUAAGGGUGCAUUUUGUUAAAAUUUCCAUACGUUUUACAACUUAAAAAAAAAUGGAAAAAAUCGUUUUUAUAAUUAAUAUUUAUUUGGAGUGUAUGUUUUAAAUUUUUUUAUUAAAAAAACUAUUUUUUAAAUUAAAAAUAAUUUUUUAUUAUUUGCACGGUGUUUGUUUCAAAUUUUUUUAAAAUUAUUUUUUGCCUAAAAAUGAAAAGGUAAAAAUAGUAUUUCUCAUAGAUAAGAGAAAAAGAUGUCACAAAUUUUAAAAACACGGAACUUAAUGAUAGAAAAUUAUAUAAUUACCUUACUCUUUUUGAAAAAUCCAAAAUUGUCCUCCAUUUUAUUAGAGUUUUCUCCUGUAUAGUCUCACGCACUCAAUUGCGAUCAUUUUUCUCCUUCUAUGAGACUUUGAUAUAGAUUUUCAUUAAGCAAGUUUUAUUCUCCUUUUCAAAUUCUCUACAUCGUAUUUUUGUUGUUUCUAUGUCUUUUAUUUGAAUCAUUUUAUUUUUACAUUAUUAAUAUGUUGAUAAAUUUUUUUUUGCUUUUGUAUGUUUAUUUAUUAUUUUUUAAUAAUUACUUAAGGUACAUUAAUCAAUUUUGAAACGUGUCUAAAAAAUAAUUAUUAGAAAAGUCAUAUCUUUUAUGAUAAUUUUGUAGUUUUAAAAAAAUUGAUUAUUAAUCAGAUUUUCUAUAACCAUUCAUAUUUAUUCAUAAAAAAUACUAGUUGAAGGGAUUUUUUAAUUAUGAAGAAAAAAACUGAAAAGACAAUAUAUAAAAAAUCCUAGAUCCAGCAAAAGAUGUUCCAUACUAGGAGUAAAAUAAAAGAAAAUGCAAUUCAAAGUUCAAACACCUUGAAAAAAAUAUUAAACUUAGCUAUGUAUGUGAGAGGUGCAAAUGGCAAGACAAUUUUGGCAAUAGUAGUGUAUGUUGGUUCCAUGCGUGCAUCUGCAUUCGGAGUAGAUGGGCUUAAGUCAAUUGGGCCCUUAAAUGAGGAGAGAAUGGAGCUAAGAAAUGAGGCCCAAGAGGAAGAUAUUUCAGUCUAUAAUUUUGGGAGACUAAACUUGAUAAUUUAAUACAAAAGUAUGGUUAUUUUUCAUAUACCCCUAUAUUUGUUUAUAUGUUGUUAAAUACACUAUUGAAAAUUGAUUUCCAACAAUACAUUUCAAUCAAUUUUACACUAGGAAACCAGCUACCAAAAAAAUGGGGUGGGCCUUGAGCAUUUAUCCAAAAGUAUUUGGGGUAACAAGAAUUUUGAAUGGUUAGUAAAACUCUUUGUUGUUUCUAUUUUGAGCAAUUUUAACUAUAUGGAAGAAAGAAUUGCUCUCUAAGAUUUGUGGUUAUUAUCAUCAUUGCAAUUGUUCAUCAUUAUUUAACAAUUGUUCUAGCGUUGCCACUUCAAACAUUUGACAUCCACAUGUAUUAUUAGCAUACAAUAGCGAUAUAAUUUAUUGACAUUUCUUUCAUGUCAUAUCAUCAAUCGAGGUGGUGUUGAGUGAUAUAACUAACAAUUAAAUUUGAAAUAGAAUAUGAUGACAUCCAUUCCAUCUUAUUUUACUACUUACACUUUUCUUCUUCAAUUAAAGAAAAUGUGCCUGCAAAGUUCAAAUACCAAAAUGGUGGAACAAAUUUUACUUUUUAUGUGCUGCCAGCAAUACAUAUUGACUCAGUUGACUAAGCAAUCAACAUAGAGGGAACAAAUGAAGCUAGCUCAUAAGAAAUAAUUAAGACAAAAUAUUGAAACAGUCAAACAGCUACAGCCAUCCAUUUGAUCCUUAAAAUAUGCUUUCAUAAACAGCACAUGGGUUGGUAGCCAAAAAAUUACUAUAUCAGAAAGAUUCUAAAAUAAUGUUCUCAACACACCAUAUUCACAUGCAAAACACAAAAGCAUUG
rnacentral:lncRNA from 1 species